GGCGUGAGGGAGACAGAGAGAGAGAGAGGUGAGUGAGAGACACUGGGCGUGAGGGAGACAGAGAGAGAGAGAGGUGAGUGAGAGACACUGGGCGUGAGGGAGACAGAGAGAGAGAGAGGUGAGUGAGAGACACUGGGCGUGAGGGAGACAGAGAGAGAGAGGUGAGUGAGAGACACUGGGCGUGAGGGAGACAGAGAGAGAGAGAGGUGAGUGAGAGACACUGGGCGUGAGGGAGACAGAGAGAGAGAGAGGUGAGUGAGAGACACUGGGCGUGAGGGAGACAGAGAGAGAGAGAGGUGAGUGAGAGACACUGGGCGUGAGGGAGACAGAGAGAGAGAGAGAGGUGAGUGAGAGACACUGGGCGUGAGGGAGACAGAGAGAGAGAGAGGUGAGUGAGAGACACUGGGCGUGAGGGAGACAGAGAGAGAGAGAGGUGAGUGAGAGACACUGGGCGUGAGGGAGACAGAGAGAGAGAGAGGUGAGUGAGAGACACUGGGCGUGAGGGAGACAGAGAGAGAGAGAGAGGUGAGUGAGAGACACUGGGCGUGAGGGAGACAGAGAGAGAGAGAGAGGUGAGUGAGAGACACUGGGCGUGAGGGAGACAGAGAGAGAGAGAGAGGUGAGUGAGAGACACUGGGCGUGAGGGAGACAGAGAGAGAGAGAGGUGAGUGAGAGACACUGGGCGUGAGGGAGACAGAGAGAGAGAGAGGUGAGUGAGAGACACUGGGCGUGAGGGAGACAGAGAGAGAGAGAGGUGAGUGAGAGACACUGGGCGUGAGGGAGACAGAGAGAGAGAGAGGUGAGUGAGAGACACUGGGCGUGAGGGAGACAGAGAGAGAGAGAGGUGAGUGAGAGACACUGGGCGUGAGGGAGACAGAGAGAGAGAGAGAGGUGAGUGAGAGACACUGGGCGUGAGGGAGACAGAGAGAGAGAGAGAGGUGAGUGAGAGACACUGGGCGUGAGGGAGACAGAGAGAGAGAGAGAGGUGAGUGAGAGACACUGGGCGUGAGGGAGACAGAGAGAGAGAGAGAGGUGAGUGAGAGACACUGGGCGUGAGGGAGACAGAGAGAGAGAGAGGUGAGUGAGAGACACUGGGCGUGAGGGAGACAGAGAGAGAGAGAGGUGAGUGAGAGACACUGGGCGUGAGGGAGACAGAGAGAGAGAGAGGUGAGUGAGAGACACUGGGC